UACGGAGGGGGCUAGCGUUGUUCGGAAUUACUGGGCGUAAAGCGCACGUAGGCGGCUUGUCGCGUCGACUGUGAAAACCCGAGGCUCAACUUCGGGCUUGCAGUCGAUACGGGCAGGCUAGAGUUCGGUAGGGGAGACUGGAAUUCCUGGUGUAGCGGUGAAAUGCGCAGAUAUCAGGAGGAACACCGAUGGCGAAGGCAGGUCUCUGGGCCGAUACUGACGCUGAGGAGCGAAAGCGUGGGGAGCGAACAGG
rnacentral:rRNA from 1 species